rnacentral:rRNA from 1 species
UAAGGAAUAUUGGUCAAUGGGCGGAAGCCUGAACCAGCCAUGCCGCGUGCAGGAAGACGGCCCUACGGGUUGUAAACUGCUUUUAUACCGGAAUAAACCUUGAUACGUGUAUCGAGCUGAAUGUACGGUAAGAAUAAGGAUCGGCUAACUCCGUGCCAGCAGCCGCGGUAAUACGGAGGAUCCAAGCGUUAUCCGGAUUUAUUGGGUUUAAAGGGUGCGUAGGUGGCCUGUUAAGUCAGGGGUGAAAGACGGUAGCUUAACUAUCGCAGUGCCCUUGAUACUGACGGGCUUGAAUGGACUAGAGGUAGGCGGAAUGUGACAAGUAGCGGUGAAAUGCAUAGAUAUGUCACAGAACACCGAUUGCGAAGGCAGCUUACUAUGGUCCGAUUGACACUGAGGCACGAAAGCGUGGGGAUCAAACA